GGAGGUUUAGCUCAGUUGGGAGAGCGUCUGCCUUACAAGCAGAGGGUCACAGGUUCGAGCCCUGUAACCCUCCA
rnacentral:tRNA from 1 species